GCCCAGUGAUGAGACUAUGGCAUCUGUGAGCUGAAUGACCCAGAGAUUGUGCUCUGUGAUGGUGGGUAAUCUUGGCUGAGCAGUGGAGACUGACUGCCUUGCUGUAAGGGCCCACCUACAGCACAGCUAGCAACCAAUCAGCAUUCUUUGUUUCCCAAAGAAAUGGGUCUAGCAAACUGAUGGGAGCUUGCACAUAUUCUCUCUCUCUCUCUCUCUCUCUCUCUCUCUCUCUCUCUCUCUCUCUCUCUCUCCCUCUCUCUAUCUGUGUCUCUCUCUCUCUCUCUCUCUGAUAGUAGGGUCACAUUUCUCUUUGUGGUCGUACAGCUUUGAGCAUGUUCUUUGGUAAUCUGAGGGCA